CUCGCAUAUUCUUCCCCUAAAUGUAUCCUUGCAUGCAGUUACAUUAGAUAUAUUGUCCUGCCAACAGCCCCCAUUCCUUUCCAGACACUCAUUUGUCUCAAGAUCUGAACUUAAGCAGAUUGGGGGAUCAGUGGUCUCCUUAAAUCCAGAACAUAUGGCCUUCAGAACAGCAGUUCUCUCCAGUUUUCCUCGAUACUGAACAUUGUUAAUAACUAAAGUUGGUAAGAUGGUAACAUCACCACGAGAUCCUCGCCCAACCUGGAGUUCUUGCUCAG
rnacentral:misc_RNA from 1 species